rnacentral:rRNA from 1 species
GAUGAACGCUGGCGGCGUGCCUAACACAUGCAAGUCGAACGUGAACUCUGUACUUGUAUAGGGUGAAAGUGGCGAACGGGUGAGUAACACGUUGGUGACCUGCCCCGAGGAGAGGGAUAACUCCUUGAAAGAGGAGCUAAUACCUCAGAUGUCAGGACAGGUUAGCGGGUCCAGACUAAAGCUAUGGCGUCUCGGGAGGGGCCUGCGGGCUAUCAGCUAGUUGGUGGGGAAGGCCUACCAAGGCGAAGACGGCUAGGGGGCGUGAGAGCGCGAUCCCCCA